GUUACGGUCCUCUCCUGCUGUUGCGUUGAGGAAAAAAAGUGAGAAGUUAAAAGAACCAGAGCGUAAUCAAAGUGAGAAUGAAGAUGAACAGCAAUGAUGCCAGAGUUGAUUUUCUCUUGCUUCCCUGAGGCAACCACUGUCCCAGUGUCCCAUGAUGCUGUGAGAUGUGGAACACAACCAAACCCUCCAGCCACUUCACAGAACACCUGCAAAGCAGACAUGCUUCUGCAUUCAAGGAAACCAGUAGGAACCAGGCAACUUAACAGAGCAGAUUCUGGAUAUAAGAAAACCCACAGGAUCUCAUUUCCCCCAGUCCUACAGCAUUUGCAGAGGUGAACAGGACACCUCCAUUCCACAGUCCAUCAUCUGAAUAAAGGCGGCAUCUUUCAGCUGCUGAAGCCAUCACACACAAGCCAUUCAAUAGCAGACUUUUUUGAACCUGUCUGUCAAGAGACUCACAAACAUAACUCCCAUACCUCCUUCUUUGGGCUUUGAAAGGAGCGUACUGACUUUGCAGUCUCCCUUUGCUGCUCUGACCAUCAUGCAAGUAGCUCGAUGAGACUUCAGUAAUAAGUUAAGAACAAAAGCA